rnacentral:rRNA from 1 species
CGUAGGUGGCAAGCGUUGUCCGGAGUUACUGGGUGUAAAGGGCGUGUAGGCGGGAAGAUAAGUCAGAUGUGAAAUUCCAUGGCUCAACUGUGGCGCUGCAUCUGAAACUAUUUUUCUGAGUGAUGGAGGGAAAGCGGAAUUCCUAGUGUAGCGGUGAAAUGCGUAGAUAUUAGGAGGAACACCAGUGGCGAAGGCGGCUUUCUGGACAUUAACUGACGCUGAGGCGCGAAAGCGUGGGGAGCAAACAGGAUUAGAUACCCUGGUAGUCCACGCUGUAAACGAUGGAUACUAGGUGUAGGAGGUAUCGACCCCUUCUGUGCCGGAGUUAACACAAUAAGUAUCCCACCUGGGGAGUACGGCCGCAAGGUUG